rfam:Schistosoma haematobium scaffold662_37, whole genome shotgun sequence.
AUCUGGCUGAUGAGUCCGAAAUAAGACAAAACGCGCGUCCUGGAU